rnacentral:misc_RNA from 1 species
ACAUAUGAAUAAGUUUGCCUUAGAGAAGGCAUGGGAUCCCUACCAAGCACUUGGACCCGAAUAUGAUCAUAUUCUAUGUUUAACCUAGCAAGGAAGUCAUAGAUCUGUUCUUUUUCAAUUAUUUUUUGAAAUUUAACAGCAUCAGCAGUACAUGUGACUUGAAGGUCUUAGUAAUAGUCUAGUUCCUGCCACAAACCACUCAGUUCAGUAAAAUACUGAGCAAUGGUCACCUCUCUUU